AUUGAACGCUGGCGGCAUGCUUUACACAUGCAAGUCGAACGGCAGCGCGGGCUUCGGCCUUGCGGCGAGUGGCGAACGGGUGAGUAAUGCAUCGGAACGUGCCCAGUAGUGGGGGAUAGCGCGGCGAAAGCCGGAUUAAUACCGCAUACGACCUGAGGGUGAAAGCGGGGGACCUAAAGACCUAGCGCUAUUGGAGCGGCCGAUGUCGGAUUAGCUAGUUGGUGGGGUAAAGGCUUACCAAGGCGACGAUCCGUAGCUGGUCUGAGAGGACGACCAGCCACACUGGGACUGAGACACGGCCCAGACUCCUACGGGAGGCAGCAGUGGGGAAUUUUGGACAAUGGGGGCAACCCUGAUCCAGCCAUGCCGCGUGCGGGAAGAAGGCCUUCGGGUUGUAAACCGCUUUUGUUCGGGAAGAAAUCCUGUGGGCUAAUACCCCGGGGGGAUGACGUUACCGGAAGAAUAAGCACCGGCUAACUACGUG
rnacentral:rRNA from 1 species